UCAGCCAUGAGCUUGGUUUCCGUGCCAGUGCUGAUGCUGCUUUUUGCCUUGAGAGGAACCGGAGCCCAGUCAGUGACUCAGCCUGACGUCCACAUCACUGUCUCUGAGGGAGCCCGUCUGGAGCUGAGGUGCAACUAUUCAUCUUCUGUUCCACCAUCUCUCUUCUGGUACGUGCAAUAUCCCAACCGAGGACUUCAGCUUCUCCUGAAGUACACGUCUGGAAACAGCCUUGUUUCAGGCAUCAAAAGUUUUGAGGCUGAAUUUAAGAAGAGUGAAACCUCCUUCCACCUGAGGAAACCGUCAGCCCAUUGGAGUGACUCGGCCAAGUACUUCUGUGCUCUGAGUGACUGA